rnacentral:rRNA from 1 species
GAUUAACGCUGGCGGCGUGCCUAAUACAUGCAAGUCGAGCGAACAGACGAGGAGCUUGCUCCUCUGACGUUAGCGGCGGACGGGUGAGUAACACGUGGAUAACCUACCUAUAAGACUGGGAUAACUUCGGGAAACCGGAGCUAAUACCGGAUAAUAUAUUGAACCGCAUGGUUCAAUAGUGAAAGACGGUUUUGCUGUCACUUAUAGAUGGAUCCGCGCCGCAUUAGCUAGUUGGUAAGGUAACGGCUUACCAAGGCGACGAUGCGUAGCCGACCUGAGAGGGUGAUCGGCCACACUGGAACUGAGACACGGUCCAGACUCCUACGGGAGGCAGCAGUAGGGAAUCUUCCGCAAUGGGCGAAAGCCUGACGGAGCAACGCCGCGUGAGUGAUGAAGGUCUUCGGAUCGUAAAACUCUGUUAUUAGGGAAGAACAAAUGUGUAAGUAACUAUGCACGUCUUGACGGUACCUAAUCAGAAAGCCACGGCUAACUACGUG